GCGGGCGUCGUUCAAAGGACAGAACACUUCGGUCCUAACGAAGAAAUGCCGGUUCGAUUCCGGCCGCCCACUCCA
rnacentral:tRNA from 1 species